GGCCCGCAGGAGCCGACCCCCAGGAGUUAACAAGGCCAUUCCAAGGGCUGCAUUCCCAAAGGCUUCCCAAAUCGAGCCCACAUCGCUGCUGCGGCUGUAGUGUCCAGCCCCGAGCGCCCCUAACCGGGGCAGGUGAGCGCAUCGCCCUUCUCACGUCAAGGGCUCAUGGACGGGGUGAGCUCGGGCGGCAGGGCAUGAUAGCAAAGGAGAAGCGAUGGGCAGGAGGCUGAGGUUGAUUGAGCUGGCAGACUGUACAAAGCCACAUCUUUAGAAGUGCUUGAGAAGAUAAUCUGAGCAAUAUAAUGCACAGUGUGCAAUGUGGACCCGGGGCAUCAAGGCACCACGCUGCAGUCCCACGUGCUCUGUGCUUUUAUGCUAACUGAAACCAAGUCAAGGGAAGCUGAAUUCAAAAGGCAAACUGGUAAAACACACUGACUGGAAGCAGAUCUAAGAUUGGCUCAGCACAUGCAAGGCUUUGCCUCCCAAGAACACAACCCUAUUGUGAUGCAUACAGUCAAAUAAGCCGCCUGCGUUCUACAUCAAAGCGUCAAAAUUAUGAUCAGUUCAGUGAGGAGAAAACGUGCGGGGUAUUCUUCUACUAAUGGAUUCUAAAAGAAGUUGAACACCGUUGUAGAUAUACUGCAGCUACCAAAAGAAUGCAAGUUAAUCAAAUAAAGUGUUCACUGGGAAUCAUUCGUGCAGCUCUAGUCUAAAUAAUUGAAACCAUGACUUUAUUAAGGCUUCAAGCUGAAAAUAUCUAAUUAUGUAAUAACACUUUAGCUAAGUGGUACGUAACAGCAACUAACCUAGGACAGAAAUGAGUUUGAAUAGCCACUGGACUUUGACAAACUUGAGCUGAAUUUGAAAAUUUAAAACCUCUAUUACCUUAAAAAUCCC
ensembl:lncRNA